rnacentral:rRNA from 1 species
AGAGUUUGAUCCUGGCUCAGGAUGAACGCUGGCGGCGUGCUUAACACAUGCAAGUCGAACGGGGAUUACACGGAGAUGCGAUUUCGGUCAAAUCAAGUGCAAUCUAGUGGCGGACGGGUGAGUAACGCGUGGGUAACCUGCCUUGCACUGGGGGAUAACACUUAGAAAUAGGUGCUAAUACCGCAUAAGCGCACGGUCCCGCAUGGGACAGUGUGAAAAACUCCGGUGGUGCAAGAUGGACCCGCGUCUGAUUAGCUGGGUUGGCGGGGUAAAGGCCCACCAAGGCGACGAUCAGUAGCCGGCCUGAGAGGGUGGACGGCCACAUUGGGACUGAGACACGGCCCAAACUCCUACGGGAGGCAGCAGUGGGGGAUAUUGGACAAUGGGGGGAACCCUGAUCCAGCGACACCGCGUGAGUGAAGAAGUAUUUCGGUAUGUAAAGCUCUGUCAGCAGGGAAGAAAGCAAUGACGGUACCUGACCAAGAAGCCCCGGCUAACUACGUG